GACGAACGCUGGCGGCGUGCUUAACACAUGCAAGUCGAACGAGUGGGAACGGGUGAGUAAUACGUGGGUAACCUGCCCAUCAGAGGGGAUAACACUUGGAAACAGGUGCUAAACCGAUACUGAUGGAUGGACCCGCGGUGCAUUAGCUAGUUGGUGAGGUAACGGCUCACCAAGGCCACGAUGCAUAGCCGACCUGAGAGGGUGAUCGGCCAUAGUGGGACUGAGAGACGGCCCAGACUCCUACGGGAGGCAGCAGUAGGGAAUCUUCGGCAAUGGGCGAAAGCCUGAUGCAGCGACGCCGCGUGGGGGAUGAAGGUUUUCGGGUUGUAAACCUCUUUCGCUAUCGAACGGGUAGGUGGAGAAGAAGCGCCGGCUAACUACGUGCCAGCAGCCGCGGUAAUAC
rnacentral:rRNA from 1 species